rnacentral:rRNA from 1 species
GACGAACGCUGGCGGCGUGCCUAAUACAUGCAAGUCGAGCGAACCUUUAGGAGCUUGCUCCCGAUGGUUAGCGGCGGACGGGUGAGUAACACGUGGGCAACCUGCCUGUAAGACUGGGAUAACACCGGGAAACCGGUGCUAAUACCGGAUAAUUCUUUUCCUCACAUGAGGAAAAGCUGAAAGUCGGUUUUUAGCUGACACUUACAGAUGGGCCCGCGGCGCAUUAGCUAGUUGGUGAGGUAACGGCUCACCAAGGCGACGAUGCGUAGCCGCACUGGGAGGGGGAUCGGCCACACGGGGACUGAGACACGGCCCAGACUCCUACGGGAGGGAGCAGUAGGGAAUCUUCCGCAAUGGACGAAAGUCUGACGGAGCAACGCCGCGUGAGUGAUGAAGGCCUUCGGGUCGUAAAACUCUGUUGUUAGGGAAGAACAAGUAUCGGAGUAACUGCCGGUACCUUGACGGUACCUAACCAGAAAGCCACGGCUAACUACGUGCCAGCCGCCGCCGUAACAC